CAGUUUGGCGGUGUUCACGGUCCCUGCGAGGGGAUAACCGGGAAUUCGGUGCGUGGGAUUCCACAAGUCCGAAGCUGCCCCCGCAACUGUAGGCGGUGACGAGCGCUCAAUGGCCACUGGCAUGUGCUGGGAAGGCGAGCGCCCGGACGACCCGCGAGCCAGGAGACCGACCAUGGAUUGCAAUUCCAA
rnacentral:ncRNA from 2 species